rnacentral:rRNA from 1 species
CAGUCGCCGCGGGAAUACGUAGGGUGCGAGCGUUGUCCGGAAUUACUGGGCGUAAAGAGCUCGUAGGCGGUUUGUCACGUCGUCUGUGAAAUUCUGCAGCUUAACUGUAGGCGUGCAGGCGAUACGGGCAGACUUGAGUACUACAGGGGAGACUGGAAUUCCUGGUGUAGCGGUGAAAUGCGCAGAUAUCAGGAGGAACACCGGUGGCGAAGGCGGGUCUCUGGGUAGUAACUGACGCUGAGGAGCGAAAGCGUGGGUAGCGAACAGGAUUAGAUACCCCCGUAGUCCCUGUCUCUUAUAC